rnacentral:rRNA from 1 species
GAGUAACACGUGAAUAAUCUGCCUACGAAUUCGGGAUAACUCGACGAAAGUUGCGCUAAUACCGAAUAAGACCACGUCUCUUAUGUGAUGUGGCCAAAGGAGUCUCAAACUCCGUUUGUAGAUGAGUUCGCGGACCAUUAGCUAGUUGGAGGGAUAACAGCCCCCCAAGGCUACGAUGGUUAGCCGGCCUGAGAGGGUGAUCGGCCACACUGGAACUGAGACACGGUCCAGACUCC